GGAGUUGGGGAGGAUUAGAUGGAGAAAAUCAAGGAGGGAUAAGGGGAGGGAUUUUUGGGGAAAAUUAAGGAGUUUGUGGGAGAGGAGUAGUUGUGUGCCGUAUGGAGUAUGCUUGUACCGAAUUUGGUCUGUGGCAUUGAGAUAAUCGGCGUUGUUGAAGUUGUUUUUCCUCUGCUAGUGUGGUUUCGGCCGGUGUCGCGUCUUUGUUUCUCUGCUUCUAGGUGCCGUUUUUGUUAGUCUGGGGUACCUCUCGGGUUGUUUUUACCUAAUUUCUUUUUGGCUGAACACACUCUCCUCCCUCAUCUUUUCUU
rnacentral:lncRNA from 1 species